AGCGAACGCUGGCGGCAGGCCUAACACAUGCAAGUCGAACGAACUCUUCGGAGUUAGUGGCGGACGGGUGAGUAACACGUGGGAACGUGCCUUUUGGUUCGGAAUAACUCAGGGAAACUUGUGCUAAUACCGAAUGUGCCCUUCGGGGGAAAGAUUUAUCGCCAUUAGAGCGGCCCGCGUCUGAUUAGCUAGUUGGUGAGGUAACGGCUCACCAAGGCGACGAUCAGUAGCUGGUCUGAGAGGAUGACCAGCCACACUGGGACUGAGACACGGCCCAGAAUCCUACGGGAGGCAGCAGUGGCGAAUCUUGCGCAAUGGGCGAAAGCCUGACGCAGCCAUGCCGCGUGAAUGAUGAAGGUCUUAGGAUUGUAAAAUUCUUUCACCGGGGACGAUAAUGACGGUACCCGGAGAAGAAGCCCCGGCUAACUUCGUG
rnacentral:rRNA from 1 species